GUGGGUAUGGUUCAGCUUGGUUAGAACGCCAGAUUGUGGCUCUGGAGAUCGUGGGUUCGAAUCCCACUAUCCACCCCA
rnacentral:tRNA from 3 species